rnacentral:rRNA from 11 species
UCCUGUAUAUAUAGUAUUUAUGGUUUCAGAUCCCAUCAGAUCUUGGAGGCUAAGCAGACCCACCCCUGGUUAGUACUUGGAUGGGAGACAAAUGCCAAAGCCCCCGGUGAUGCAGCAG